CCCACUUCGUUCAUCCUCUUCUCAUCUCUCAUCCAAGGCUUUCAAACCCUACUUCCGCCAUUUUCAUGAGAGGAAAAGCUUCAGUCACCCCUAAAUCUCAUCCACGCGACCAUCAUCCCUCCCUCAACCCUAAUCCAUCAUCAUUUAGCCCAAAACCUCACCAAAUCGGUCUUUUCGAGUCUGGGAGUGAAGAAGAAGAAUCCGCCAAGCUUGACAGCUUCCUUUGAGCGAUAGGGCUCAAAACCAGUAUUGGCCAUGUGUUUUCGUUGAGAACACCCGAUUAAUAUUUGUUUCGAC
rnacentral:lncRNA from 1 species